GGAUAAAACUCCACAACAAAGCAAUCUCAGUGCAGUCAUAUAUACGCAAUUGCACCAAAAUUCUUUCAGGUAGCAUCCAUUGAACCCAGACGUUGCCUCUCAACAAAUAUGGAAGGGCUCCUUCCAUCUGCGGAGGUCUUCUGAUCCAGUGGAUGAAUUCUGCUUGUGGGGUGAGGAAGGAGGCCAUUUUCAAUCUGUUCCCUCUCUACGUCUCCUGAAAAAUCUGCUUUGCAGGGUUGGGGAACACUCUGGGAUAAUGUGGGAGCCCUGGGAACUGUAGGGGGAAAGGGACAUUGGCAAAAAUCACCUCUCCAUGUUUCUGCUGAUGGGGAUGUCCUGUGUAGGACCUUUGCUUAAGUGGAUCUGAUGUCCAUAUAUCCAUUGACACUACAAAAAGGGGGAGGGAAGACACAAAUGAGCUGAAGAAGCUUAACAUGGUGACAAGAUGGACAAACAAAAAGACAUACAUACAUACAUACAUACAUAAAGGUAAAGGUAAAGGGGACCCCUGACCGUUAGGGGGUUGCGGUGCUCAUCUCGCUUUACUGGCCGAGGGAGCCGGUGUUUGUCCGCAGACAGCUUCCGGGUCAUGUGGCCAGCAUGACUAAGCCGCUUCUGGUGAACCAGAGCAGUGCACGGAAAUGCCGUUUACCUUCCCACCAGAGUGGUACCUAUUUAUCUACUUGCACUUUGUGCUUUCAAACUGCUAUGUUUCGCAGGAACUAGGACCGAAUAAUGGGAGCUCACCCCAUCAUGGGGAUUCAAACUGCCAACCUUCUGAUCAGCAAGCCCCAGGCUCAGUGAUUUAGACCACAGCACCACCCGUGACCGUUACAUACAUACAUAUCUGUGCCAAACAUUUGAAUUUUCACAAAACCAUACAGGAAGCAAGAAGGACGUCACCAAAACAUAUAAGGAUAUACAAAACAGAGCAAAACCCCAAAGGAAAGCUCAUGUCUUGCUGCCGGAAUUAUAUUAGUGAAAACAAACCUUAUCUUGGUACUUUGUAUUCCAGUGACUUAUAUACUGCAUUUCCCAAUAAAUUUAUUAGGUACACAUCCUUCCUUACACCUUUAAUAAGAAGCUAGUUUAGGAGAUAUAUAAAAGCUGUCUCCCAGACACUGUUGCAGACUUAAUAAAGGCUUGAAAGAUUUCCUGUUCACAGAGAUUACCUGUCUGACUUUUAGUAACAAGAAUGUAGUGAGUUCUAAAUCUUCUUCAUUAACAAUUCCUUUCAAAUAAGGAGGGCACUUUUGAGUGCCAAGGGGAUAUAAUAACCAGAUAUAUCUUGAAUUUUAUUGGGCAUUUCUUACUAGAAUAGUUUUCUGUGGGGCAAGACCAGAAUAAAUAGAAAAUAACUUUCACAGCCUGCUGCUCUCCAGAUGUUUGGAUUACAUCUUUCCUUAGCCCAGCCUCUUCCAUACAGUCCAAAACAUCUGGAAAGUACCAUGUUGGGAAGCCUGAAAAGUUCAGUUCCUCCAUUCUUGCUCCAUAUAGCGGGUCCAAUGGUCAAGAAGGCGGCUUCUGCACAUGCUGUAGAGGGAAAUUUUUUACACAUCACAUGGGAAGACAGGCGAACUAAUGCCAGUGUGCUGGAAGAAGCAAAGAUCACCAGUGUCAAAGCAAUAAUUCUUCAACAUCAACUUGGUUGGACUGGUCAUGUUGUGCAGAUACCUGAUUAUCAUAUUCCAAAGCAACUACUCUAUUCCGAACUUAAAAAUGGAAAGCAUAAUACUGGUGGUCAGCAAAAGAGGUUAAAAUACUCAAGGCAAAUCUAAAAAAAAAAGGAUUAUAAACUUAAACCUCCACUGCUUUGUGGGAUAUCUUCGGGAGAUGGAAAGGCUAAGAAGUAAACUCUACACAAAUCCAGAGUGGAGUCCCUAAGACAAUUGGGUGGUGCCUUGUAUGACCUCACUCCCAGAGGCAUACUCCAUUGUCUUUCGAGACAGACACAUGGCAACAUUUCUGCAUAUGUAUGCAAAAAGGUUCCAACUCUUCAUUUCCAUCUCCAAUAGAAACCAAUGAUAAUUCUGUACAUCUCCCCCAUUGGAGCAUCUCAUUUAUAUAGAAAUUUAUGCAUUGAAUGUAUUUAUAUUUAUAUAGGUUAAUGUUUAGUACGUUUCCGAGCACAAUUCAAAGUGUUGGUGCUGACCUUUAAAGCCCUAAGCAGCCUUGGCCCAGUUUACUUGAAGGUGUGUCUCCACUCCCAUCAUUCAUUGAGGUCCAGCUCUGAGGGCCUUUUUCUGGAAUGAAAGUCAUUCCCCCGCUUCCCAAAGAUAUGUGUGACAAUGCAAGGUCUCCCCAGUUGAAACAGAUCAACCAUGCUUCAUUUUGAGUCAGGCUCCAAUUUAAGCCCAUCCAAAGUUAUUUCCAACAUUUUUUUUCAAUUCAUUAUAAAUCAUUUCCCAGAAUGCUUUUGAUAUCUUACACAGCCACCACAUGUGAAAAGGGUGCUUUCCUUCUCUUUACAUUUCCAGAAGGAACUACUGUUCUGGGACUCCAAAUACCACCAGACCCAGCCAGAAUGGCCAACUGUGAUGAUAGGAGUUGGGAGUCCAAGAACAUCUGAUGGGCACCAUAUUAGCUACCCGUGGAUAAAUGUACACAUUUGGGCAUCCUCUUCCUUACCCCAGGACUCAGGUGACCUUAGCCAACAUACAAGGAAUAUUUACCUUGUACCAUGUGUCAUAGUUUGGAUUGUUUUUACUUAACUUGCCUUGCGGGCACAACUGAUGCAGAACACCUUGCUAAAUCUGCCUCUCUCCUUGCAGGAAACCAGGAUCUCUAGAAGUGGGCUAAUUUCUUUGGCACUUCAGGGACCAGGAAGAUCAGCUUCAGUGGUGGAAGACUGGAAUGUAUUUGGUUGUAUUGUUAAAAAAGCUUCUUUCUAGCUAAAUAAUCUACUGAUUUUUUUAGGGCGACUGCUAUGAUUGAUGUUUUGCUGCAGAAAUGAAAAUGUUUGCAGUG